AUUGAACGCUGGCGGCAGGCCUAACACAUGCAAGUCGAACGGUAACAGGAAGCAGCUUGCUGCUUUGCUGACGAGUAGCGGACGGGUGAGUAAUGUCUGGGAAACUGCCCGAUGGAGGGGGAUAACUACUGGAAACGGUAGCUAAUACCGCAUAACGUCGCAAGACCAAAGAGGGGGACCUUAGGGCCUCUUGCCAUCGGAUGUGCCCAGAUGGGAUUAGCUAGUAGGUGGGGUAACGGCUCACCUAGGCGACGAUCCCUAGCUGGUCUGAGAGGAUGACCAGCCACACUGGAACUGAGACACGGUCCAGACUCCUACGGGAGGCAGCAGUGGGGAAUAUUGCACAAUGGGCGCAAGCCUGAUGCAGCAAUGCCGCGUGUAUGAAGAAGGCCUUCGGGUUGUAAAGUACUUUCAGCGGGGAGGAAGGGAGUAAAGUUAAUACCUUUGCUCAUUGACGUUACCCGCAGAAGAAGCACCGGCUAACUCCGUG
rnacentral:rRNA from 1 species